UAAAGCAUUAAAUUGAAAAUGUAUAUCUGCAAAACUAAGUGUUCGAAGACAACUUAUAAUCAAUGUGGCAAAGAUUAAUUAUUAUCAUUAUCAUAGAGAGUUUAUUCAUGUCGCAAAAAGAUAAAAUGAAAUAUAGCCAAGGUUAAGUACUGGAGUAAUUGUGUUGGUUGGCUCUUCUUUGAGAAGAAACGAGAGAGUGAAAUAUUUUGAUGUAAAUCAGUAUUGUACUAUUGUUUACGUCAAAGACCUCAGAGGGUGUUAAAAACAAAUUGGGAUCGAACUAAGAUGGUUCAUAUAGUCUGUGAUUAUGCAAUGAUUGUACAUGUGUGUUUAAAAUAAUUUCAACAAGGUUUGAAAGCAUAGACAUGUUGAUGAAUCUCGUUAAUGAACAAUUGUGUCUCAUAUUCUUGGUUUUUGUAUAUAGUUUUUUGACAUCAAACCUAUUUAGUUUACAAAUGUUUUAUGGCAUAACACCUCAGAUUAGUUUUAGAAAACGCGUAUAUUUAUUGAACGGUUUAUAUAUAAGUAAUAAGUUAUACAACAAGAGUUUUGUG
rnacentral:lncRNA from 1 species